rnacentral:lncRNA from 1 species
AUUAUCUGCUUUCAGGAUAGCUGUGCAGCAUACUUGGUACUCUGUGAAAGAUGCACUGGACGUUUGUUCUUUUAGGUGCCUAGAAUUAAUUUCUGAGGAAGUUCUUGCUUCCCAAUUUCUUUGAAGAAAUCAUUACCUUCUGCUAAGGAGAGUCAGCUAAUCUGGCAACCUAGCAUGCCUAGGUCAGAUGUGGUAGUUAGGGGAAAGCACCAGCAGAAUAUCCUGUACAUAUACAAAUUCCCAAUGGUGAAAGUGAUCAUAACGUAUACCUAAAAUGUACCGAUAAAUUUAUGGGGCAAAAUAAAAAGAUGAGGAGACUAAAAAUACACGAGGUAGGAGUUUCUUUUUCUCUCUCAUAGUAGUAGCCAUUUCAGACUGGCAAAUCAGCUUUGCUACAGACAUUCAUUCCAGGCCCCCAUUCCUCAGGAUUGUUGCUCCGCUAAUGUCAUCAUCUGCUACAUCCAUGCUGGUCACAACUAACAUUUCCCACAUCAGGAGAGUGGACACAAGUUAGCCUGAGGUAAACCAAUUAGAUCUUCCCCCUCUGCACCAUAGAAAGCAAUAACACAACCAAAAGGGUUCAUUUAUUUCAGUAUCUGAGAAUGUUAAUCAUUCUAUCAGCUGCUACCACCAAGACUCUUUGGAGCUGCUCCAAGUGUGGUCCGUUAGCAUUCUCUUGAUUCUGGGUGCACCACUGCCGUUCCCUCCUGCCAUUCUAUACAAGCUGAUUCAUCUCUACAUUUACCAACACUCCUUCCUGUACUAUCACUUCUCAAUGUGCCAGACUAGCUGCUCCUACAGAGGGGCAAAGUGCCCCAGGGAAGAUGGAGGUUAAGAUCACCACUCCUUCCUUCAAUUAGAGCCUUUCUGAUGGAUCGAGAUGGUGUCUGGGAGGAGAUCUGAGGCCAACCAACAAACC